UACGGUAGGGUGCAAGCGUUAAUCGGAAUUAUUGGGCGUAAAGCGUGCGCAGGCGGUUUUGUAAGUCUGUCGUGAAAUCCCCGGGCUCAACCUGGGAAUUGCGAUGGAGACUGCAAGGCUAGAAUCUGGCAGAGGGGGGUGAGAAUUCCACGUGUAGCAGUGAAAUGACGUAGAGAUCUGGAGGAACACCGGUGGCGAAGGCGGCAUCCUGGACCGACACUGACACUGAGGAGCGAAAGCCAGGGGAGCAAACGGG
rnacentral:rRNA from 1 species